rnacentral:rRNA from 1 species
UACGUAGGGGGCAAGCGUUGUCCGGAAUUAUUGGGCGUAAAGGGCGUGUAGGCGGUAUAAUAAGUCAGAUGUGAAAGUUCGGGGCUUAACCCCGGAAUUGCAUUUGAAACUGUAAUACUUGAGUACUGGAGAGGUAAGUGGAAUUCCUAGUGUAGCGGUGAAAUGCGUAGAUAUUAGGAGGAACACCAGUGGCGAAGGCGGUUCUCUGGGCAUUACCUGACGCUGAGGAGCGAAAGUGUGGGGAGCGAACAGG